rnacentral:rRNA from 1 species
UAGGGAAUCUUCCGCAAUGGGCGAAAGCCUGACGGAGCAACGCCGCGUGAGUGAUGAAGGUCUUCGGAUCGUAAAACUCUGUUAUUAGGGAAGAACAAAUGUGUAAGUAACUAUGCACGUCUUGACGGUACCUAAUCAGAAAGCCACGGCUAACUACGUGCCAGCAGCCGCGGUAAUACGUAGGUGGCAAGCGUUAUCCGGAAUUAUUGGGCGUAAAGCGCGCGCAGGCGGUUUUUUAAGUCUGGUGUGAAAGCCCACGGCUCAACCGUGGAGGGUCAUUGGAAACUGGAAAACUUGAGUGCAGAAGAGGGAAGUGGAAUUCCAUGUGUAGCGGUGAAAUGCGCAGAGGUAUGGAGGAACACCAGUGGCGAAGGCGACUUUCUGGUCUGUAACUGACGCUGAUGUGCGAAAGCGUGGGGAUCAAACAGG